UGGCGAUGUUAUUCAGGCUUUCGCCUUAUGAAUGAUGCAUGAAUUGUCUAGUUGUGCUCAGGCUUUUAUAUACGUUCUGAAUUCUGAUAGGGAAAGAAACUACAAAACUGCGACUCAUUUCCCCUGCGCAAUACAGUUCGUUGAAGCAAGUUUGAGUAAACCACAAAUCGGCCAACGCCAAACCGAGUCAUAUCCGCUACGUUAAUUGUGGGACAUCUUAAUUUUUAAAACUAUUUGCUUACUCAUGCAUGUAAGCUAUUUAAUAUGAAUAUAAGUAUAUAGUAUAAUAAUAUUUAUUAGUAUUUUUGCACAAGUGAACAUAACAAAUCCUACAAGUUGAU